UACAGAGGGUGCAAGCGUUAAUCGGAAUUACUGGGCGUAAAGCGCGCGUAGGUGGUUUGUUAAGUUGAAUGUGAAAUCCCCGGGCUCAACCUGGGAACUGCAUCCAAAACUGGCAAGCUAGAGUAGGGCAGAGGGUGGUGGAAUUUCCUGUGUAGCGGUGAAAUGCGUAGAUAUAGGAAGGAACACCAGUGGCGAAGGCGACCACCUGGGCUCAUACUGACACUGGAGGUGACGAAAGCGUGGGGAGCAAACAGG
rnacentral:rRNA from 1 species